rnacentral:lncRNA from 1 species
GCUUAGGAGCCUUCCCCGUGGCGGUAAAGCCAGUGUCUGACUGACAGCAGCUGGACCUGAGCAGAACCUUGACCUUCUGUAAAAUCAAAACUUAAGCCUUUUGCCAGGGACUUAACUCUCAACCUUGGCACUGGGAGUGCCUCCAGACAGUUCCAGACCUUUUUCUCCUGCUUCCCUACCUCAACUGUGCUGGCUCGGAGACAAAGUGCCCAGGCUGAGCGGGACUUGACUAAAUCUUAUAGCUAUGUCAACACCCGCAAUCGGCCUUUGCACCCUUUCUCUGGCUGCUGUCAGUCAGACACCAGCUUUACUACCAUGGGGAAUGCCUCAACCAUCCCCAGAGUCUCGCCCCCUGGGUGCAUUUUAACCAAUUGGAUACGCUUUCAAUUGGAUGGUUUAUGCCCCAGAAACUCCAGCUUGGAGAAAACUUGAGGAGUUUCUCUGUGCCUUUGUGAUGUAGUUGGACAAGUAGGUCAAUCUAGAAUGUCAUUAAGUUAAACCCAGUAACUUCCAACUGUCCUUGGAAAAUCCUCGCAAGACUGGAAAUACAGCUCUAGAGGCAGUUCAGAUUCCACCCAGUUCCUUUAUCUCAAAAAGGAUUAUCAUCUCCCUCUCCAGGAACUACUAUCUAGCCCAUCA